GAUGAACGCUGGCGGCGUGCCUAAUACAUGCAAGUCGAGCGAACGGACGAGAAGCUUGCUUCUCUGAUGUUAGCGGCGGACGGGUGAGUAACACGUGGAUAACCUACCUAUAAGACUGGGAUAACUUCGGGAAACCGGCGCUAAUACCGGAUAAUAUUUUGACCCGCAUGGUUCAAAAGUGAAAGACGGUCUUGCUGUCACUUAUAGAUGGAUCCGCGCUGCAUUAGCUAGUUGGUAAGGUAACGGCUUACCAAGGCAACGAUGCAUAGCCGACCUGAGAGGGUGAUCGACCACACGGGAACUGAGACACGUCCCAGACUCCUACGGUAGGCAGCAGUAGGGAAUCUUCCGCAAUGGGCGAGAGCCUGACGGAGCAACGCCGCGUGAGUGAUGAAGGUCUUCGGACCGUAAAACUCUGUUAUUAGGAAAGAACAUAUGUGCAAGCAACUGUGCACAUCUUGACGGUACCUAAUCAGAAAGCCACGGCUAACUACGUG
rnacentral:rRNA from 1 species